rnacentral:rRNA from 2 species
UCGGCGGGCUAUAAUGCAAGUCGAGCGAACAGAUGAGAAGCUUGCUUCUCUGAUGUUAGCGGCGGACGGGUGAGUAACACGUGGGUAACCUACCUAUAAGACUGGGAUAACUCCGGGAAACCGGGGCUAAUACCGGAUAAUAUAUUGAACCGCAUGGUUCAAUGUUGAAAGACGGUUUCGGCUGUCACUUAUAGAUGGACCCGCGCCGUAUUAGCUAGUUGGUAAGGUAACGGCUUACCAAGGCAACGAUACGUAGCCGACCUGAGAGGGUGAUCGGCCACACUGGAACUGAGACACGGUCCAGACUCCUACGGGAGGCAGCAGUAGGGAAUCUUCCGCAAUGGGCGAAAGCCUGACGGAGCAACGCCGCGUGAGUGAUGAAGGUCUUAGGAUCGUAAAACUCUGUUGUUAGGGAAGAACAAAUUUGUUAGUAACUGAACAAGUCUUGACGGUACCUAACCAGAAAGCCACGGCUAACUACGUGCCAGCAGCCGCGGUAAUACGUAGGUGGCAAGCGUUAUCCGGAAUUAUUGGGCGUAAAGCGCGCGUAGGCGGUUUCUUAAGUCUGAUGUGAAAGCCCACGGCUCAACCGUGGAGGGUCAUUGGAAACUGGGGAACUUGAGUGCAGAAGAGGAGAGUGGAAUUCCAUGUGUAGCGGUGAAAUGCGCAGAGAUAUGGAGGAACACCAGUGGCGAAGGCGGCUCUCUGGUCUGUAACUGACGCUGAUGUGCGAAAGCGUGGGGAUCAAACAGGAUUAGAUACCCUGGUAGUCCACGCCGUAAACGAUGAGUGCUAAGUGUUAGGGGGUUUCCGCCCCUUAGUGCUGCAGCUAACGGCA